UCACUGGUGGCUUAGCGGUAAAGAAUCUGCCUGCAAUGCAGGAGACACUGGUUCGACUCCUGGACUGGGAA
rnacentral:tRNA from 1 species